UACGAGGGGGGCGAGCGUUGUUCGGAAUUAUUGGGCGUAAAGGGCGCGUAGGCGGUGCGGUAAGUCACCUGUGAAACCUCUGGGCUCAACUCAGAGCCUGCAGGCGAAACUGCCGUGCUGGAGUGUGGGAGAGGUGCGUGGAAUUCCCGGUGUAGCGGUGAAAUGCGUAGAGAUCGGGAGGAAUACCAGUGGCGAAGGCGGCCUUCUGGACGGAUACUGACGCUGAGGCGCGAAAGCCAGGGGAGCAAACGGG
rnacentral:rRNA from 1 species